AGUUGGUUCGGUCCUUCUAACUUUAUAUGGCUUCCAGGGAUUGAACUCAGGUCAACAGGAACUCUGGUCAGUGCUAACAUGAUGCCUGUCCAGUAUUACAGUAGGUGUUAUGCAGGAGAAGUUUUCUGCAGCAUCAGGCAGACUAUGAGCUCAAAAUGUGAGUUUGGAGAAAGAACCACAUGGCAUCACAGUCCCAGUAGCCCUACGCUGUCUAAGGUUGCAUGCUAGUUUCUUUUGAGACCAUCUCAGGAGCAGCAACCAUUGAGAAUAUUGAGGACCUUCGCAUCACAAACCAAGCCAAACAGCCCUUAAGGUCUGAUAACAGAGCAUUGGCCCUGCCGUUUCCUCUAUUCACUUCCAGAAGCCUCAGAGUACAGUGUGUAGGACAUGCCCCUGCCUAUGUGUUUGCAAGGAGUGAUACCACUCCUCUGUGUAACAGCCAUGAUUAAUUUCAACAGGUGGUCUCAUUCUUAUUUUCCCUGGUGGAAUGAGAAGGAGUAGAUGAGGAAAUGAAUGCCUUUAUUCCAGAUUCUAAAACUACAUCUCUCAUUUAACAGCUUGUUUAAGGGAUAAAAGUGCCAAGCCACCCUCUUUUCAAGUAUUCCCUUGUCACCUGAACAAUAGUUUAUAGUGAUUCCUCGCCCUUUGCCACUAUAGGUAAAAGAAGCUGAAAUCUCUUGCAGUUGUGUGUUUUUGUCUUGUUUUUAAAAUUUAUCUUUAUUUUAUGUAUAUGACUGUUUGCAUAUAUGUAUGUAUAGACACCAUAGAUGCGCAGGUGCCUUUGGAGACUUGAAGGAAGCUAAAGUCACAUCCCUGGGGACUAGCCAUUAUGUGAAUGUUGAAAACUGAACCCAGGUCUUUUGAAAGAGCAGCAAAUGCUCAUAACCACUGUUGCAUGAAGUCUCUUAAAUGUGGUCUGUUCCUUUGUAGACUUUACUACUCAAAAUUUUUAAACAAAGAAGUUUUAAAUUAAAUUACAUUAUAAUUUAAUGUGGUGUGUGUGUGUGUGUGUGUGUGUGUGUGUGUGUGUGUGUGUGUGUGUAGAGGGCUUGGAGAGACGCAUGUGCUGUAUGAGGCUUGUGCAGGCCAGAAGGCAACAUAUAGGAGUCUGACUGCUCAUUCUACCCCAUGUUUCCUAGAGAACUAACAAUUUAGGUCUUCAGGCAUGGUAGUGAGUGUAUUUAUUCACUGAGACAUCUUGCUAGUCCUAGUAUUACAAUCUGAAUACUGUGCUUCUUAGCUUCCAAACACACACUCCAACGUGGAUCUGCCUGCUUGCAGUGCCAACUGUUUCCAAAUAGCAGGAAUGCUGUCUGUUCCUGUGGUCCAUGGCCAUUCACUUGCACUUGCUGUUUUUGUUCCUCCUUGCAGGGUCUGCUCUUGAGACCUAUAAAUGGCCCUUUUUUCCCUUUGUCCUCAGCUGUUGGAACCCCUAGAGGGAACAGAAUACUCUCACACCCAUGCAAGUGUUAAAGAGGCUUUAACCCUUUGACAAUUGCUGGCUCUCUUAAUUAGUUUCACCUGACUGCCACUGGAUUUAAAGCCAAUUGUUGUUAACUUGUUUCUACUGGUAUAAUAGUGUCUCAUUUUACUAGUUCAGUUAAAUUUUUAUUGCUUUAAGGACAUAUUCACAAGAACAUUCAAAGCUACUUGUCUUUUUAUUACAAUUGCACUUAUUUCUGUAACCUGGAAAUAGUUCUCAGUUUCAGAUGCCAUUUAGGCUUCCAGUGGCAUAAAAGUUCAGUUGUGCUUUGCCUCUUUUCUGAGACACAUAUGCUAUCCUAGCCUUUCUCAGCAUCCUUGUCUGUAAGUGGAAAGCCUACACGAGGUUUCCAAGUGUGACACAGGAUCACUGUCAUUUUCUACAGGAAUAGUUUGCCUGGGGUGGAAAUAUCACCCUUCCUCAUUCAUCAGAGUGUUAGGCAGGCAUCUAGGCUCUGCUGAUGUUAUAAAGAUCUUUUAAACUCAAAUAAGGUUUAUCAUGAGGUGAAUUUUCAAGAAAUUCUGUGGAUGGGAAAAAUAAAUAUACCAAAAAAAAAAAAAUAACAAUUUUCAAAAAACCUGAUUUAUCAAGCUUCUUGUUUUGUUUUGCUAUGCUUUGUUUUAUAGUGACACAGUCAUUAAAUUCUAUUGGUUUGCAAAUUGUAAUUAUAUUGGCAUUUUUCUUUCCUUACAAAUAGGUUGAGUUGAUUUGUCUAUGAAGACUGUAAAAUUCUUUUACAAAAUAGAAAGAAAACCAGCAGCAGCUGAAAGCAAA
rnacentral:lncRNA from 1 species